UACGAAGGGGGCUAGCGUUGCUCGGAAUUAUUGGGCGUAAAGGGCUCGUAGGCGGUUUGUCGCGUCGGGAGUGAAAUCCACUGGCUUAACUGGUGGCUUGCUUUCGAUACGGGCAGACUGGAGGUAUGCAGGGGAGAACGGAAUUCCUGGUGUAGCGGUGAAAUGCGUAGAUAUCGGGAGGAACACCAGUGGCGAAGGCGACUACCUGGCCUGUUCUUGACGCUGAGGCGCGAAAGCUAGGGGAGCAAACGGG
rnacentral:rRNA from 1 species